rnacentral:lncRNA from 1 species
GGGAGGAGGUGGCCAGGCUCCAGGAGGAGCUCCAGCACCAGCAGGACCUCUGCGCCCAGUACCAGCAGGAGGCCACCACCCAACAUGACAAUGUCCAUCCGAGGGACCAGCAGGACCAACUGGCCACCGCUGAGGUGGCCCGGCUCCAAGAGCUCCAGGCAGGACAGGCAGCAGAGGUCACCCGGCUACGGGAGGAGGUGACCAGGCUCCAGGAGGAGCUCCAGCACCAGCAGGACCUCUGUGCCCAGUACCAGCAGGAGGCCACCACCCUGAGAGACAGUGCCCACCCAAGAGACCAGGAGGACCAGCUGGCCACCGCUGAGGUGGCCCAGCUCCAAGAACUUCAGGCAGGACAGACAGCAGAGGUCACCCGGCUACGG